GACGAACGCUGGCGGCGUGCUUAACACAUGCAAGUCGAACGGUAAGGCCCUUCGGGGUACACGAGUGGCGAACGGGUGAGUAACACGUGGGUGAUCUGCCCUGCACUUCGGGAUAAGCCUGGGAAACUGGGCCUAAUACCGGAUAGGACCCUGGGAUGCAUGUCCUGGGGUGGAAAGCUUUUGCGGUGUGGGAUGGGCCCGCGGCCUAUCAGCUUGUUGGUGGGGUGAUGGCCUACCAAGGCGACGCCGGGUAGCCGGCCUGAGAGGGUGACCGGCCACACUGGGACUGAGAUACGGCCCAGACUCCUACGGGAGGCAGCAGUGGGGAAUAUUGCACAAUGGGCGCAAGCCUGAUGCAGCGACGCCGCGUGAGGGAUGACGGACUUCGGGUUGUAAACCUCUUUCAGCACUGACGAAGCGCAAGUGACGGUAGGUGCAGAAGAAGGACCGGCCAACUACGUGCCAGCAGCCGCCGUAA
rnacentral:rRNA from 1 species